CCGAAGCCCAGUUUACAGUAAAUAUGUAGUGUAGUGUGACCUUUGAUUCUAUUCGAAGGCAUGUCAUGAUGUAAUGACAGAAGAGUAAGGUGCCUAGUACUUGGUUUGGUCUGUGGUACACUGUGUCUGUGUGGGGGGUGGGGGCGGGCAAGGACGAAGGAUGAGUACCCCGCUGGCCCCAUAUAAGAACACAAACACAUGGGUGCAUGACAUCCCACCCGGCGUACAGACACAGCCCAUGUGACCGGCUGGCUCAGAGACAGCUGUGACUGUCUAACUGUGGCCCAGGUCAGAUCCUGGCCCGGAUCACAUGCUGCUUAACCCACGUCCAUGUCAGACCGCUAAUCAGUGACCAAUGUAAACGGACCUCUCAAAGCUAUCUUGGACGAGGCACCGUACCCCGUCUUGUGGAUUGAAAAGAGAUAGAGAGAGUGUGUGUGUGUUUCUGUGUAUGUGUGUGUGUGUGUGUGUGUGUGUGUGUUGGAGGGAAAGCGCUUCAGUGGCAGUGGACACUGACAGAAGUGGUCAUUCCUUGACAUUCCUGCUGGGUUAUGGUGGGGACAUGUAUUACGGUUGGGGCAGGUAUCCUGCUGAGUUAUGGUGGGGACCUGUAUUACGGUUAUGGUGGGGACAGGUAUUACGGUUGGGGCAGGUAUCCUGCUGGGUUAUGGUGGGGAUCUGUAUUACGGUUGGGGCAGGUAUCCUGCUGGGUUAUGGUGGGGACCUGUAUUACGGUUGGGGCAGGUAUCCUGCUGAGUUAUGGUGGGGAUCUGUAUUACGGUUGGGGCAGGUAUCCUGCUGGGUUAUGGUGGGGACCUGCAUUACGGUUGGGGCAGGUAUCCUGCUGGGUUAUGGUGGGGACCUGUAUUACGGUUGGGGCAG
ensembl:lncRNA